ensembl:miRNA
CUCCGAAUGUUGUUGUUGGUGGCGGCGGCGAGCGGAGCCGGAGGAGCCGCCGCAAAGAUGGAGGAGCCGUCGAGGAGGCGCUGCCGUCGCUGCCGCCGCCGCUGCUGCCGC